rnacentral:rRNA from 1 species
GAGUUUGAUCCUGGCUCAGAACGAACGCUGGCGGCGUGCUUAACACAUGCAAGUCGAACGUGAUUCAGAGCUUGCUCUGAUGAAAGUGGCGCACGGGUGAGUAACGCGUGGAUAACCUGCCCUGGUAUCUGGGAUAACAUCUCGAAAGGGGUGCUAAUACCGGAUAAGCCUACGGGAUCUUCGGAUUCUGCAGGAAAAGGAGGCCUCUAUUUAUAAGCUUCCGUAUCAUGAUGGGUCCGCGUACCAUUAGCUAGUUGGUGGGGUAAUGGCCUACCAAGGCGACGAUGGUUAGCUGGUCUGAGAGGGUGAUCAGCCACACUGGAACUGAGACACGGUCCAGACUCCUACAGGAGGCAGCAGUGGGGAAUUUUGCGCAAUGGGGGAAACCCUGACGCAGCAACGCCGCGUGAGUGAUGAAGGCUUUCGGGUCGUAAAGCUCUGUCAGAGGGGAAGAAAUGAAACGUGCUAAUAUCACGUUUUCUUGACGGUACCCUCAAAGGAAGCACCGGCUAACUCCGUGCCAGCAGCCGCGGUAAUACAAGGGCGMMYYS